rnacentral:rRNA from 1 species
UACGUAGGGUGCGAGCGUUGUCCGGAAUUAUUGGGCGUAAAGAGCUCGUAGGCGGUCUGUCGCGUCGAUCGUGAAAACUUGGGGCUUAACCCUGAGCUUGCGGUCGAUACGGGCAUGACUGGAGUUCGGCAGGGGAGACUGGAAUUCCUGGUGUAGCGGUGAAAUGCGUAGAUAUGCGGAGGAACACCGAUGGCGAAGGCAAUCCCCUGGGCCUGUACUGACGCUCAUGCACGAAAGCGUGGGGAGCAAACAGG